GGCUGAAGCCAUGCUCUGAAAGAACCUGUGCAGGGAGAGAAAGACCUGUUUGAGACCGACCUGAAAGCUCUCGCAGGGGAAAGAACAGGGGGUUCCAAUGAUUCCUGUAGUUCACUGAGCUCUUGUAAAGAAGCAACCGUUUUUCCUGACCUUGACACUCAAGCAUUUUUGAUGGUUCUAGAAGUACCCAUUUUCAGGUAUUAAAUACCUUUCUGUUUGAGAUACAUGAUUGUUUUCUAUUUUCCUGAAAGAAUCCUGACUGAUACAGUAUUUGGUACUGAGAGUGGUUCCAGGAAAUACAGCUGCAAAGAUGGAGGGAAGUCUAAGAUGUGUUGUUAGGCUUGGAUUAGCUUGAAGCCAAUAAUGACCUCCUGGCUAGUGGAAAAUGGGUUUCUGGUAGUCCAUGACAUGCAAUGUCUUAAGUUAUGGCCUGUCAUUCAUGGAAUCAAUUGCCUGUUAAAAGACACCAAGCACCUUUUUGAUAGAAUACUCUGGUGGAAGAGAUAAGUACAAGGGUUAAAGUUACUGAAUGCAAUGGAAAAUUUACAGAAAAAAUACAGCACAAAAUACCCCAACAAUCUCAGGGCUUUAAAAUUUCAACUCAGAGGCAUAAUUCAAAAGCAUUGGAGAAGCAUCAAAGAAGCUUCUACAACUGCCCCUGAAAGAAUCUCUUAUCGUAGCAGAAAUUGAACCCAGGGUUGUUCCUACAAGUUGGCAGAAUUACAACCUAACUUGAAUUCACAGCCUCUUUAGGUGCUUCCAUGAAAGGUGAUUAAUGGGGAAGGACUGCGACCAGGAGUAUUGCACUGAGAAACUUGGGUAUGUUAAGAUGAAUCAACGUACUUCACAACCUUAAAGUCCACUGAGUUUCCCUUCCUUUCCUUUCUGGGAACCUAGUCCCUUCUUGCUUGAAGACUUUGUAAAGACUCACCUGAAGAAAAUACUUACCCAGGGAAUGCUGAUUCUCCCAUAGCCCACUACCCCCCAUCACCUCUCACAGCAGUCAUUACAGUCAUCCCAGUAGAAUUCAUAGAAAUCAGUUCAAAUCUGACCCAGGAGAAGAUAGAAAACAUUAAAAUAACUGCAACAUUCUUCUAACAUAUAUUUGUAGAAAUCUGAUGAUUAUGUCCAAGAAUGGAUUCUAAGGGACUUAGAAUUUGAUUUGACUGGGCCAAAUUUAUCAGUCUAGGUGCACUUAAGAGAAACUUUGAAUUCAGUGGUUUACCUAGAGCAGCUGGAAGUGGCUCUAUUUGGUUGAAGAACUAAAACCUUGGACCAAAAAAAUGGCCUCCGUUAAACAGAAUUGCUUUCCAGAAUAUAAAAGAAGGAAUCCAAAGUCUUAGAUAAGAAUGCCAGAAUGGAUUUAUUGUGACCUGCUCCCCCAUCCUCUAACUCUAGUUUAUGAGAUUCCUGAGGAUGCUUUGUUAUAUCAGGCAUCGAAAAAUACAUUUCCAAGGAGAGCACCAGCAUCCUUGGAAGGCCCUGCUGUGGCCAUCGUCUGUAGGCUGGGGGUGAUGUAGCACAUACCCAUCUGGUGGAAAACUGAUCACAGUUGACCCAUUCCCUCAUGGAGUAGUCAGCAAUUUUCCAUCACAGUAGUAGAUAUUUAUUUAUUCUGUCUAUGGAUGUGUCUCCGAGGCCCACAAGGCCUUUGCUGCCUCAUCACACAAAACUUCCCCAAAUGCCUGAUUAUUCAUCACAAUGGUUUUGCAUUUGGCAUUACUUCUUACAAACUGAUUAAAACGCGACAGAUUAAAAUGCAACAGACCUGAAGCAAUGCACUCGGUGCCCAUGGGAUUCACGGAUCUUCCCAUAGGUCCUACCAGCCAGAAGCAGCAUGCCUGAUUGAUAGAACAGUGGAAUGGCCCAAUGAAGGUUAUGCAACUGAGCCUGUUGAGAUCUCAUGACAUGUGAGGAUGGAGUGCUCUUUUACAAAGUACUGUGUCUAUUAUGAAGCACAUUCAAUAGGAGCUGAUUCUUGUAUGGCCAGAAUACUUGGGUUUGGGAACCAAGGGAUAAGAGUGGGACUGGCUUCAUUUACUAUUGCACGUAGUGAUCCACACCCAAUAAAGUUCUGCUUCUUACCACUGCAACUUUGAGCUCUGGAAGUUUAGAGACCUUAGUUCCCAAGGGAAGAAUGUCUCUACCAGGGAAUACGAUGGUUUAUUGCAUGGAGAGUUGAGACUGCCACCUGGACAUUUGGAGUUCAUUACACCACUAAGCCAAUAGGCAAAGGGGAAGGUUAGUGUCCUGGCUGAGAAGACUGACCCCUAAUAUCAAAGAACAGAGAUUUGCUCCACACAUGGGGACAAGGAGGAAUAUGUCUGAAAUCCAUUACAUCCUUUGAAGAUGCUCUUUCUAUUUCAUUGUCCAAAGGGAGAAAUCAGUGGAAAA
rnacentral:lncRNA from 1 species